GACGAACGCUGGCGGCGUGCCUAAUACAUGCAAGUAGAACGCUGAAGAGAGGAGCUUGCUCUUCUUGGAUGAGUUGCGAACGGGUGAGUAACGCGUAGGUAACCUGCCUGGUAGCGGGGGAUAACUAUUGGAAACGAUAGCUAAUACCGCAUGAAAUUCAUUGUCGCAUGAUAAUUAAUUGAAAGAUGCAAUUGCAUCACUACCAGAUGGACCUGCGUUGUAUUAGCUAGUUGGUGAGGUAACGGCUCACCAAGGCGACGAUACAUAGCCGACCUGAGAGGGUGAUCGGCCACACUGGGACUGAGACACGGCCCAGACUCCUACGGGAGGCAGCAGUAGGGAAUCUUCGGCAAUGGGGGGAACCCUGACCGAGCAACGCCGCGUGAGUGAAGAAGGUUUUCGGAUCGUAAAGCUCUGUUGUAAGAGAAGAACGGGUGUGAGAGUGGAAAGUUCACACUGUGACGGUAUCUUACCAGAAAGGGACGGCUAACUACGUGCCAGCAGCCGCGGUAAUACGUAGGUCCCGAGCGUUGUCCGGAUUUAUUGGGCGUAAAGCGAGCGCAGGCGGUUAGAUAAGUCUGAAGUUAAAGGCUGUGGCUUAACCAUAGUAUGCUUUGGAAACUGUUUAACUUGAGUGCAGAAGGGGAGAGUGGAAUUCCAUGUGUAGCGGUGAAAUGCGUAGAUAUAUGGAGGAACACCGGUGGCGAAAGCGGCUCUCUGGUCUGUAACUGACGCUGAGGCUCGAAAGCGUGGGGAGCAAACAGG
rnacentral:rRNA from 1 species